UCCUACGGGACGCAGCAGUGGGGAAUAUUGCACAAUGGGGGAAACCCUGAUGCAGCGACGCCGCGUGAGUGAAGAAGUAUCUCGGUAUGUAAAGCUCUAUCAGCAGGGAAGAAAUGACGGUACCUGACUAAGAAGCCCCGGCUAACUACGUGCCAGCAGCCGCGGUAAUACGUAGGGGGCAAGCGUUAUCCGGAUUUACUGGGUGUAAAGGGAGCGUAGACGGCGAUGCAAGUCUGAAGUGAAAGGCGGGGGCCCAACCCCCGGACUGCUUUGGAAACUGUAUAGCUGGAGUGCAGGAGAGGUAA
rnacentral:rRNA from 1 species